rnacentral:rRNA from 1 species
CAGCCGCCGCGGUAAUACGAAGGGGGCUAGCGUUGUUCGGAUUUACUGGGCGUAAAGGGUGCGUAGGCGGACUGAUAAGUCAGGGGUGAAAUCCCAAGGCUCAACCUUGGAACUGCCUUUGAAACUAGAUGACUAGAAUCUUGGAGAGGUCAGUGGAAUUCCGAGUGUAGAGGUGAAAUUCGUAGAUAUUCGGAAGAACACCAGUGGCGAAGGCGACUGACUGGACAAGUAUUGACGCUGAGGUGCGAAAGCGUGGGGAGCAAACAGGAUUAGAUACCCCCGUAGUCCCUGUCUCUUAUAC